UUUCGAUUGGAUUUUCUGAGGGCGUUUCAAACCAGAGCUUCACCUAACUACAGUCAUACUUGUUAGCCACGUUUCAGUUACAUUAUCUCUUCUUUUCGUAAUUUUGAACCCUACGCCGGUAUCUGUCCAGUUUAGAGACGCGAAGGGCUCCCUGGACUGGACCAGUCGCCCAGUACGGCACCUGCAACAAGACAAUCACAUCGAAGGAUAUCCCCUCAACUGUUCUUGACUCAUCGGCCAGGUCUGACACUCCCAGAUGUUGCUCCGAACAGAAUCUGCAGUUACAGCUGGGGAACAUCGAUCAGAAACCAGCCUGGAGGAACAGGGAGGAGUUUGGAGGAGAAACUCUAAACGGACACAAGAAAUAGGCUGGGUUCAGGGUAGCUUGCAGCUGACGCUGGUGCUGAGCAGGAGGGGGGAAGGAUGGAGCUGUGGUGGAGAAGGCUGAGUUCUGGGAAGCAGGAGAGCUGGUCUCAGUUCCCCAGGUCUGCCACAAACUCCCUCGGCGAAUUUGCUCAUUUCACUCAGUCUGUCUGGGCCUUAGUUCUCCAUAUGUACAGAGCAGUGAUAAUAUUUCUGAGUCUGACCAUUGAGAUUCUGGGGAUAAGUCCCUUUGAAUCACUCAGAUAUUAAGGUGAUGAGGAUCAUGUAGUAUAGACUAGUAAUGUAGACUGGAAUUUAGUCGGGCUCCUAACACGCCUCCUAACUCUCCCCGGCUCUCGUGAAUUGGGAGGAAUUAUUUAAAAGUCUUGGUAUGUUUCUUCCACAGCCUUUAUCGUCAUUCCGGCUGCAAUGGGAGAACAUUCAAAUUCUGUAGAGCAGUGAAAGGGGUUUCAACUCGCAACACGUAUGGAUCCCAUUCACUAGCUGAUGGCGCUGCUCCGGCAUCGUUCGCCACCCCACAGCCGUCGGACGCGUCCCUUCAAGCGAACGGGGGUUGGACCGUUUUAGAAAGUAAUACAAAGGAAUGUCAAUUACCAAACCAAUCAGCCCAUCAUUUGAAUUUGUCUCCGAUUUGAAUACUCAUUUCACUUUGGUGGCGUGGUAAACGGUAGCUUCACCCCGUCAGACACAUCCCAAAUUGGGUAUUUUGAUCGCAUUUUUGAAAUGACGUGUUACCCAUAUUUUUCCACA